rnacentral:rRNA from 1 species
GACGAACGCUGGCGGCGUGCCUAAUACAUGCAAGUAGAACGCUGAAGGAGGAGCUUGCUUCUCUGGAUGAGUUGCGAACGGGUGAGUAACGCGUAGGUAACCUGCCUGGUAGCGGGGGAUAACUAUUGGAAACGAUAGCUAAUACCGCAUGAUAGUAGAUGUUGCAUGACAUUUGCUUAAAAGGUGCAAUUGCAUCACUACCAGAUGGACCUGCGUUGUAUUAGCUAGUUGGUGGGGUAACGGCUCACCAAGGCGACGAUACAUAGCCGACCUGAGAGGGUGAUCGGCCACACUGGGACUGAGACACGGCCCAGACUCCUACGGGAGGCAGCAGUAGGGAAUCUUCGGCAAUGGACGGAAGUCUGACCGAGCAACGCCGCGUGAGUGAAGAAGGUUUUCGGAUCGUAAAGCUCUGUUGUAAGAGAAGAACGAGUGUGAGAGUGGAAAGUUCACAC